CGGCGGGCUAGGCCGGCGGGCUGGCGGUCCGCUGUAACCCGAAACCCGCCUUACGCGGGGGCCGAAGCCGAGGGGGCGGCCCGGUACCCCUCGGGUGUCCCGCCCGCCGGGCCGACCGAGGAACCACCGGUCCUCCGGGGGCCCGAGGUGGCGGGGCCGCCGCCGGAAGGCGGCGUGCCACCGCCUUUGCCGGGGCACCGGGUCAGGCCCGAGAGGGAGCAGCCCACCCCGGACUCGGGCCGCUCGGAGGGUAACCGGGGGGAGGUCGGCCCGGUGGGUCCGGGCCCCGAGGGGCCGGGUCCACCCCUCGGCGUGCCCGCCG
rnacentral:SRP_RNA from 1 species